GGUAAAAAAGCUCGUAGUUGGAUUUCUGUUGAGGGCGACCGGUCCAUACCACGUAUGCGCAUCUGGCUCGGCCUCGGCAUCCUCUCGAUAGACGUUUCUGCGCUUGAUUGCGUGGUGCGGAUUUCGGGACUUUUACUUUGAGGAAAUUAGAGUGUUCACGGCAGGCUAUCGCCAGAAUACGUUAGCAUGGAAUAAUACUAUAGGAUCUCGGUUCUAUUUUGUUGGUUUCUAGAAGCGAGGUAAUGAUUAAUAGGGACAAUUGGGGGCAUUUGUAUCAACACGUCAGAGGUGGAAUUCUUGGAUUGUGUUGCGACAAACUACUGCGAAAGCAUUUGCCAAGGAUGUUUUCAUUGAUCAAGAACGAAAGUAAGGGGAUCGAAGACGAUUAGAUACCGUCGUAGUCUUUACCAUAAACUAUGCCAACUAGAGAUGGGUGAUCGUUCAUUUACGACUUCAUCCGCACCUUAUGAGAUAUCAAAGUCUUUGGGUUCCGGGGGGAGUACUGUCGCAAGGUAGAAACUUAAAGGAAUUGACGGAAGGGCACCACCAGGAGUGGAGCCUGCGGCUUAAUUUGACUCAACACGGGAAAACUCACCAGGUCCAGACAUAAUAAGGAUUGACAGAUUGAUAGCUCUUUCUUGAUUUUAUGGGUGGUGGUGCAUGGCCGUUCUUAGUUCGUGGAGUGAUUUGUCUGCUUAAUUGCGUUAACG
rnacentral:rRNA from 1 species